UAGGGAAUCUUCCGCAAUGGACGCAAGUCUGACGGAGCAACGCCGCGUGAGUGAAGAAGGAUUUCGGUUCGUAAAACUCUGUUGUUAGAGAAGAACAGCGCAUAGAGUAACUGUUAUGCGUGUGACGGUAUCUAACCAGAAAGCCACGGCUAACUACGUGCCAGCAGCCGCGGUAAUACGUAGGUGGCAAGCGUUGUCCGGAUUUAUUGGGCGUAAAGCGAGCGCAGGCGGUCAAUUAAGUCGGGUGUGAAAGCCCCCGGCUCAACCGGGGAGGGUCAUUGGAAACUGGUUGACUUGAGUGCAGAAGAGGAGAGUGGAAUUCCAUGUGUAGGGGUGAAAUGCGUAGAUAUAGGGAGGAACACCAGUGGCGAAGGCGACUCUCUGGUCUGUAACUGACGCUGAGGCUCGAAAGCGUGGGUAGCAAACAGG
rnacentral:rRNA from 1 species